UACGGAGGGUGCAAGCGUUAUUCGGAAUGACUGGGCGUAAAGCGCACGCAGGCGGUUACUUAAGUCAGAUGUGAAAGCCCCGGGCUUAACCUGGGAAUUGCAUUUGAAACUGGGUAACUAGAGUAUGUCAGAGGAAGGCGGAAUUUCCAGUGUAGCAGUGAAAUGCGUAGAUAUUGAGAAGAACACCAGUAGCGAAGGCGGCUUUCUGGACUGUAACUGACACUGAGGCACGAAAGCGUGGGUAGCAAACAGG
rnacentral:rRNA from 1 species